CUCACCACUGGAGACUUUCAUCUUUCAUAUUUGAAUUUACUCAGUAGGAUACUCUGGUUCCUGACUUACAGGGUAGUUAUCCCAACAGCUGAAAAUCUUACUGCUGGUGUUUUGUUUUUUUUUUAAUUGUGACUGGAAGCCUCAACUUUUUUAGUAACUCUUGUUCCUUUCUUUUUUCAUUUUUUUUUUUGUUGGUCCAAAUUGACCUUUCUGUGUAUCUUAAGUUUAUUUUAAAGAUCCUGAUGCCGCCCAGUAAUAUGUGUGCUUGAAUCACUCUUAAAUACAUAGUGAAGAACUGAAGACUGAGAUUACAACAUUUAAAAAGGGUAUGGAUGAAGGAAAAAGGCAAAUGAAGAACAGAACAACAGAAGAGCAUUUUAAAAAUGCAAUAUUUUAUUCAAUUUUCAUAUUCUCCAGAAAGCUUUUGUCUGCAUACAAAGUACAGUUUUGGAAAAAUAAAACUUACACAUCUCUUCAUCUCUCUCAGCUCUUUCAGACAGAAAUGAUGAAAACAGGUUUUUGUAGCUGCCUUGUCUGUUACUGAAAUUCUUUAAGACGUUCCUGAUUGCUUUCUCAGAGCAGUGUCAAAACAGCUGCUCAUCUAUCUUGGGAAAUUGGAUUUUGCAAGAGCCGAAAAGACAAACCACUCCCUUUGGGAUGCCCAGGGACUAUACCUCCCAUCUUGAAAAUCCAAACAGCCUGAACCAACUUGUGAAGCACGAGACUGAUGCUGCUCAUUCAACGUCUGGAGCAGUUAUCCUGGUUAUGGGAAGUCAUGAUCUGAGUGUCUUUCUAAGCCCCAAGGAGCACAGAUCUACACCUCUUUGUUUCUGAGAGAAGUGUGUGUGUAUCUGUGCUGAAAUGUCCUCUGAAGGAUACGAAGGCUGACAGUUGUUUAGGUUAGGGGGGGGGUUGAGAAUGGAGGAGGGGAGGUAUUCAUUUGUCAUCACAGCAAAUGUUCUGUGUGUGCGUAGAACAACAACUCCAUGUACUAAUAAAAAUGGUCUUUUAAAAUUUCUGUCCAUACUUUGGCAUGAUCUGGUAUUCACCCCUUUAUUCACGUGAGCUAAGGAGCCACUUUUAAUUCUUCUCUACCUGGUACUGUAUUGAAUGCAAAUCAUUUAACCUCCCCAGGUCGGUGAUGUUGGCUGUUUAAUUGUGCUUGGCUUAAUUCCCGCUUGAUACCGAUGUGAGAUGCGAUGCUGUCUGUAUCAAAACAGCACGGUAAAUCAUGCGUACCUCUGGGCUAAAAUGAGAUCUGUCUUGUGGCUGAUGAUUGGCUUAAGUUGUGGUUGCAAACAAAAUGACUUGGAAACCCUAUAAAUUCAAAACAAACAUAUUACAGGAUUGUAGAACUUUUUCUUUGAUCAAAGUUCAUCUGAAACAGUCUUGUGGAUAGAGCAGUGGGAAUUGGUCUUCUGUUAUGAGAAACUGCAUGCUGUAUGUUACUGGCUCCUGCAAUCCUCAGAAAAGCAGGAAUGAUGGUGAGCCAACGUUAAAAAAACUGACAUUGAACACGGCACAAGCUUCAGCAGGCAACUGUAGCCCCUUUUCUGUGCAGUCCAUAAGGAAAAUAUCACUUGGUCACAGAGCUUUUUAGCUGCAGAGGGUAUUAUCAGUAGUGUCAUUUUUGAUUUAUGAAGCAUGAUGCGUUAACUUGACUAAGUUUUGAUUGUAAAUUCUUUUCGUCUUUGAAGACUGAAGAUCUGAAGACCUGUUAAAUACAGCAGAGCAGACGGUGCCUCCUCCACGAGGGUGGAAGGUGCAAACCACACGGGCAUGACUCACUCGUGAGGAUUCCCGACCAAGGUGGCAAUCCAGCAGUUUUGUGGGCGUGUUUGCAACUUGUUUUGGCAUUUUUCAGUGCAAUGCCUUUAUCAUCAUCUGCAGGUUCCUCGCUGUUGAUCCAGUCAGACAAGAAAAAAAGGCAGGCUGAUGCCAAAGGUUAUUUCCUCAUGGGAAAACUGAAUGAAUCAGAGCACAGAAGCAAGGCUGGGUAAGACCAUAAUAGCGAGACUGGGGCAAGAUGGCAGCAGAUGAGUGGUUGGAUGCUAACCCGUCAUAUCUGGAGGAUCUUUGGCUCUGUUAAUUUUGCUUACAGUUUAACCCAGACUUCCGAAAACAGUGAGUACCAUCACGAAACAUUUUUGCCAGGACUGUUUGAAAAUUAUCAGUGAGGGAACUGAAGUCAUCUGUGAAAUCAGAUGACUAAACUAAAUCUAACUGCUUUAAGCUAUUUUUACUUUGUGCUUGUUUGCUCAGUUUUAUACUUGCUCUUUAUGUCUGUGGAAGUAAUUAGACAUCUUAAUUAACCUCUGCUUUUUGCUUGGAGUUUUGUAAUUGGUCUCCAGUCACAAUGUUGUCAGUUCUCAGAAAAAUUCAGAUUUUCGUAGGAAGUUAUUGUAAAGAUCCCUCUCCUUGUGCAGCUUGCUUUACUUAUAUUCACCUUUUCUGUAACCUUUAAAAAAGUAAUUAAUACCAAUCAAUUAAGCCUUUGUAUAAAUAAGGGCCUUAAUUUUUUUCCUGAAAUGAUCACGUUGAGGACUCUUGCUGUAGCCUUUUUAUCUUACUGUGUAGCAGUUAGCUGUAUGAGUGAUCAUAUGGUUGUUUGUGAACUGCUUGGAUUUUAAGCUAAACAUGUAGGCAUUCAAGCCCUAAAUAAAUAAUUCAGUUCCAUAACUAAGGAUUUUUUUUCUUCUUCAGAUACUACAUACACGUAACACAAGUUUGCAGUGAAAGUUUGGGGGAAUAAAAUUGUGUAUGCUGAAUAGAAAAGCCCAAUGUAAACUUUCUUUUUGCACAAUAUGUGCUUAGAAUUUCUGUGCUGGAUACCUAUUCCUAUAAAGGAAUGGGUAUCUCUUUCUAGUUCUGCUUCUGGGGUAGCAGAGGGGGGAAAGCUGUAACCUAAGGUGAUGGAAAACCCUUUGGCCAGAAACCUUGGAUCCACCAGUUUGAGGGUGUAGUUCCCACUGUUGUUGCUUCUUGGGUGCUUUUGUAGCUGUGCUUGUGCAAGGUCAGACUGCCUUGCAAUAAGUCCUUGGACACAGAGUAAGGAUGGAAAGUUUUGUAGGGCUCUGUAGAACUCUUCCAUUGUAAAGUAGCAGAAAUCAGAGAUAAGGACUUCAUAAACUGGUUACCUUAAAUUUGAAUUGCUCCUUAAAUAGAUUAUCAGAUUAUCAAUUUACCUUUUUUUUUUUUUUUUUUUUUUACUUUUACUAUUUUAAGAGUUUUUUCCUCUCCUUUAACCAUUGUCCAGUCAUUCAUUCCUCGCUCCUCUUUUCCUUCUGCUGGGACCUUUGCCCUCCUGGGGUGCUAUGACCAAAUGAAAUUAGUUGGAGGAGGAGGUGCAACAUCUGGUGACCAUCUCCUGAGCUGGGCAGGAGACACCUGCAAGUCUAUAUACUUUUAAUAUUAGCUUCUAUAAAAGUGUAUCCAUAUUCUUUCCCAAAAUCGACUGACUUCUUGCUGUAUUACUUGCUUUAAAUUUCUCUUGCUGCGUAGUAGUAACCGUGGCAUGUUCUUGCAGUGCUGAGGCUGGGUAGUUUCCAUGAUGAGUCAAGCAAUGCGACUGAACGAGAUCUGUGUUUCACCGGUAACACGGCUCAUUAUCUCGAUGAGCCUCAGAUACCUGGAGCUGUCCCAGGCUGUUACCUCACCUAGAGGUAACAGCCCUAGGUGGAGUUACAUCAGUGGAUAAAUACAAAGUGGAUAUGAAUUAAUAAUGGAACAUGACGAGGUCAAGGAUUCCCAAAUGUGAAAUGGAAUUCAGGCUAAGAGCAUACAAUGAAUAUCAUUUAAUGACUGCAGAAAUUGGAAAAGAAGUUGGUACAAUCCUUUACCUAAUAUCUUUAGGUGCUUCCUGGUCAUCUCCUGUUCCUCAGCAGUGUUGACCCGAGUCUUGUCAUUCACUUUUUUUUAUCAGUUUUGGUCCGUAGAAGGGCUAACAGUUGCUAGUGUUAAACCUAACUUUAAAACUGUUCAAUAUAUAUUUCAACGUCCUAUGAUGUUGAUGAUAAAGGCUGGGUGCUCUGGCAGGGCUGGCUGCCACCUCUGGACAGUUUGCCAUGUGCUGAAUCAAAGGUAGUGCCUGCUGAAGGCAGCAUCUGCUCUCAGCUCUUAUAAUUGAGUAUCUGAGCCCCAAGAGCCCAAGUUGUCCAUCUCACAUGGCAAUUCUCAUCAGGGACUGCCUGAGGAGAGUAGCAAAAGUUAAACCUUGUGGAGAUGAGGUUGUGUGAAAUCGCUUCAUAAGGCACCCACAGACUGAAAUGCUUUAAGCUCUUCACCUUGCAGUUUACAGUAAAUUAUUAAUGCAGUGACUUCUAAUAUUGAGCAGGUUGUUUGUUUCAUUUAAAAGUGCAAAAAUCAUUUUCAGUAAAAAGUUGAUAAAUGUCUGAAAAUCGCUUUGCAUGCCCAGUGAGGACAGUGUUUGGAAUGGGUUUAGCUGCUCACUUACUAGCAACUGGACAAUGUUCAAGAAGAGAAAACAGAUGAUGUCAUCUUCAACAUGUUUUUCUUUCAGGAGAAAGGCAGUAAAUGCGUGGCGAUGGAUGCGAGGGUGGCCCACUGCCUGCUCCUUUGGGCUAUGCACUUCUUCCCGGUUGCACCACGCAUUGCUCCCAGGGUCCUCAGCAAGGAAUCAAAGACUGGUAAUCUGCAAGAUGGGUGUAUAAAUCUGAUUCCCUGUGAACAUAGUGGAGCUAUUUGUAUUCAGCCUUGUUCUCCCUCCUUCCAUGGAGAGAUGAGUUUUGUCUGCAAAGACAGAAAGUGGCAAAUGUUCAUAGAUGCCUGUGCAAAUCUGGAUGUUCAGUCACUUUUUCAGAGGAUUUCUGAACGUGAACCUCUUCCAAGUUCUGGAGGCCACAUUGGUGUUGCUGGAGGACACCUGCCCUUUGUAGGAGCAGGAAGGCCAGUGCACGGGAAGCCAGAAAAUGAAGCAAAACAUUUUGGUGCUGAUGACCAUGGGAAUAGUAACUGCCAAGCUGAUUUUUCAUGCAUCAUCCCAGAUAUCCUGUCCUCACCAGCAAUUCCAGGAAACAUUGCUGAUAUAGUGGAAUUGCUAAAGAAUAUCUCCCUGAUGUUGUCAGAAAACGUCAAUAGAGAAAAAAUGCAGAGUUACAGCAGGAUAGCAAACCAUAUUCUGAACAGCUCCAUCAUUUCCAACUGGGCUUUUGUCAGGGACAGAAAUGCCAGUUCAACGUUACUGGACUCAGUGAACUUAUUUGCUGGGAAUCUUCUUCUAAGGAAUGGGUCGGAAAAUAUACAGGAACACUUCAUCUCUACUAAAGGCUACAGCAUAUAUAAGAAUACUUCAGGGAAGAGCUUUGAUUUUUCUAUGGAGUUGAAUAAGACAAGAAACAUAAGUGGGCGCGUGGUCAUUCCAGAAGAAGAACUUUUGAAGUUACCCAGGACUUCUAAAGCAAUCAGCAUUGCAUUUCCCACUCUUGGAGCUAUUAUAGAAACCAGCCACUUGGACCCUGUUUUUGUGAACGGAAUGGUUUUAUCUGUGUCUCUUCCAGAAGAGCUUCAGCAUAUUUUGCUUACUUUUGAAAAAGUGAAUAAACUGGAGAACAUCAAGGCUCAGUGCGUUGGAUGGCACUCUGCUGAGAGGAGAUGGGAUAGCAAGGCAUGCAAAAUGAAGUCAGACAACAUCAGCAGUGUUGUUUGUAUGUGCAAGCACCACCGCCGGACGUUCAAAUCCUUUUCCAUUUUGAUGUCCCCCACCAUGCUGCGAAACGUGGUGUUGGAUUACAUUACAUGUGUGGGGUUAGGCCUUUCUAUUUUCAGCCUGGUUCUGUGCCUUACCAUCGAGACUGUCGUCUGGCAUCAUGUUACAAAAACCAAGAUAACCUACAUGCGCCAUUUUUGUUUGGUGAACAUAGCUACGUCACUUCUCAUUGCUGAUAUUUUAUUCAUUGUAGCAGCUAUUGUGCACAACACAGCCCUAAACUACCGGCUGUGUGUGGCAGCCACGUUUUUCCUUCACUUUUUCUAUCUUGCCUUGUUUUUUUGGAUGUUUACCCUUGGUCUCUUGAUUCUCUAUGGAUUGUUACUAGUUUUUUUUAAGAUAACAAGAUCUGCGUUCAUAGCUGCAGCAUUCUCUAUUGGAUAUGGAUGUCCAUUAGUCAUAUCUAUCCUCACUGUUGCUAUUACUGAACCUAAAAAUGGAUAUUUAAGGAGUGGAGCCUGCUGGCUUAACUGGUAUGAGACGAAAGCCCUUUUGGCCUUUGUUGUACCUGCUCUGAGCAUCAUUGUUGUCAAUUUGGCAGUGGUGGUAGUGGUUGUGGUGAAGAUGGGAAGACCCUCUAUUGGAGAUGGCUGCAAGUCACAAGAUUUGAGCAACAUGAUCCGAAUUAGCAAAAACAUUGCCCUUUUGACACCUCUUCUGGGCCUCACCUGGGGGUUUGGAUUAGCAACAAUCAUUGAUAGUCGCUCUCUGGCAUUCCAUGUUACAUUCGCACUACUAAAUGCCUUCCAGGUAAACCCAGCAAAUCUAGGUGUAGUGCCUUCUCAAACUUUGACCUUGGGAAAAGGUAGCAGAUCGAAGAGGGGCUGGCAGCAUGUGCUGUGCUUGAAAAGCAGGCUAUCCUUGCAUCUUAUCUAUUUAACGCAGUAGCUGCACUAGAUAUUCUGCGUUGACAUGGAUGGAGAUGGGCACUAGAAAAAACCAGUUGGUAGAAAGUCUAAUGAAGAACUAAGAAGAAGAAUUUAUAUUAAAAUACAUGGGAUAAUGUCAAGUAACUGCAAAGAUAUCUAAUCCAUAUCACCCAACAAAUACCCAGAAAAUCUUACUUGCCAUUAAGGAUGAUUUCGUUUAAUUCACCAGUGUCAAAGUCCAAUGUUACCUGACAUACCAUUGUAUAUCCAUACUGCCUUAGUUCUUCUUGGCUAAUGCUGCUAUUAAGUAUGUUGAAAAAAUUCUGGUAUGUAACCCAUCAGUCCAGUUUGUAAUGAGAAUGAACAUGAAUUGGGUAUCCAUUCUUGGCAUUCCUGGAUAGUCCAUGUGACCUGGGUAGGUAAACUCAUUUGGGGCAUUGCUGUUACUGUCACAGGUGAUGAGAUGUUUUACACUGAUAAAAGCAUUAUUUUAUCUAUGCUAGAAGAAAUAUUUAAGAAACUUCAUGUGGUUAUGGUGUUUUGUAACUGUUUUUUAUCUCCAAUUUUUUUAGGGAUUCUUCAUCCUAUUGUUUGGGACACUUCUGGACAGAAAGACCAGAGAAGCCUUGAAGAAAAACUGCCUUUCAUCAAAGCGGAAGUGUAGUCUAGCAAAGUCCUAGCAGUGGACAGUUGUCUUCAGUGGAUCUGACCAGUGAGAGGACAAGGAGCAACUCUUGCAGAGAAAUUCUGGUUUGAGAUGAGCCUUAGUGGUGACCAGUUCAGAGUGUGGACAGCACUGUCUUGGAGCAUGACCACAGGAAGCAUCGUGAAAACCAGAAGAGAAAAGGUCCUGAACCUGCUGUCAGGAGCAAGAAAACCAUCAGCGUUGCUGCAACCCUCAGAGGAAGCACAGUGACAUGUAAAAGUUGUUUCUCACCGUUGUGAAAACUGCUGUGAGGAGAGUUUGUCCUCAUUUGCCAUUUCAGUGCUUCAAGUUCUUCCUGUUUUUGUUUUUCCACAUCAGUGCAAUAAGAAGCUGUACAGCAUAUGGGACUGUUCUAACAUUUGUACAUCACAUUAAAAAUGAAAUAACGUUGAGUGUUAUCUAGCUAUUUUUGUCUGUCCUUGACCACAAAUAAUUCUAUUAGGUGGGCCUAAUAGAAUUAUUAGGUGGGCCUGAGACAUCAGAUGUCUCUACUUCUCAGGCUGAGGGACAGCAGUAACUGUUUCUGUGUUACAGCUCUGUUCUCCAUCUCAGUAUCUCUAUGUCAGAGGAAAUGUAGAAAACACUUUUCUAGUCUUUCAGGAACAGAAUUGUCAUUCUUUUUCUAGUCCUGCAACAAACGGGCAGAUGAAGAAGGAAAAGCCCUCCACAAAUAGGGCUUCCCUUCCCUCUUUAGAUGUGGGAAAGCAAGCUUUGAAUAUGAUUCAGAGUUGAAUCAGGUGUAGAUGGAGAUCUCCUAUAUCACUUGUGGUGUACUAACCAAGGAAACAGUUCAUCCACAGAUGAUUGUAUAUCUGGUUUUAUUAGAAAGAAAUAAAAGUCCUUGGAAAGAAACCCUUAGUAAUGAAGACUUGGAUAUAAAUGUGUUGUCUCUUGUCAGGACAAGUUGAUGCUUUCAAAUAAAUAAAGUUGAAAUUU